rnacentral:sRNA from 20 species
GUCUGCAAGAUGCAGGUCCAGGAUUAGACCUACGUUAAUGGGGUUAUGACACCCACAGGUGAACGCCAGCCUGUUGCUCUGUC